GGGGCUGUAGCUCAGUGGUGGAGCAUCUGCUUAGCACGCAGAAGGCCCCAGGUUCAACCCCUGGCAUCUCUA